GCCGCCGCCAUGGGCGUCCCGGGGCUGACGGGCUUCGUGGAGGAGUGCGGGGCGUUCUUCGCGGAGCUGCGGGUGCGGGACACCAAGCUGGUGAUCGACGGCAGCAGCCUCUACUACCACCUCUUCUUCGCCUCCGCGGCCGAUUUCCGCCGCGGCGGCGAUUACGGCCCGUUCGCGGCGGCCGUGGACGAGUUCUUCGCCGUCCUGCGGUCCUGCGGCGUGGCCGCCUUCGUGGUGCUGGACGGCGGGCGCGGGGCGGCCGACAGGAAGCUGGGCACGCUGCGGGAGCGCGCCGCCGAGCGCCUGUGCAGGGCUCACGGGCUGUCCCGAGGGGAGGGCGGCCGCGUGCUGCCGCUGCUGGCGCGGCACGCCUUCGUGCAGGCGCUGCGCCGGGCGGCGGUCCCCUUCGUGCAGUGCUGGGCCGAGGCCGACCGCGAGGUGGCGGCCCUGGCCAACCGCUGGGGCUGCCCCGUGCUGUCCCUCGACAGCGACUUCUUCAUCUUCGAGCUGGCGGGCGGGUACUGCCCGCUGAGCGCCUUCCGCUGGCGGGACGUCCGCGCCGAGCGUUCGGGCCGCUACAUCCCCGCGCGGCGCUUCCAGGCGGAGAGCUUCUGCGGGCGCUUCGGGCAGCUGAGGAGGAGCGUGCUGCCGCUGUUCGCCGUCAUGAGCGGCAACGACUACGUGGACGUGACGGAGUUCGAGGGGUUCUUGGGCAAGGUGCGGCUGCCCGGGAGGCACGGCCGCGCGCGGGGGCUGCUCGGCUGGCUGGCGGGCUUCGCCGGGCCCGAGGAGGCGGCGGACGCCGUGCUGAAGCGGCUGGGCGGGCGGCGGAGGGACGCGGUGCGAGAGCUGCUGCGCGCCGCGCUGGAGGACUACGCGCCGUCCCACGUGAACCUCGAGGAGUUCUUCCUGGAGGGCCGCUACCGCUGCGAGGAGGCCGAGGCCUCGGGGCUGCCGUCGUGGCUGCUGGGCGCUUUGGCCAGAGGCGAGCUGGCCCCGCUCGUCGCAAACGUCGUGACGCUGAGGAGCACCUUCCUUCACGUCCAGGUGGAGGACAUGCGGCGGCCCAGCGCGCACUGCGCCGCGCUGCCCAUCCGGCGGGUUCUGUACGGCCUACUGCUGCGCGCUGCUACCCGGGCCGACGCGCAGCCUCAGUCACAGAGCGGCGCGCUGCCGGCCGUGUGCGAGUUCGACCGAGUCCAAAAAUCAGUUAAAAAGACGUUUGUCCAAGCAGCGAGCCUCCCCGCGCCCUUCGGCGAGGAUGGGUUUUCUUUGGCCAAGUUAGUGGAGGUGAGUGGUUGUCGUGGCAGGCUAACAGCGCGGCACGCGCUUAAGAGGCGCUGUGUUUGACAGCAGGGCGCUAAAGGUGAUGGCUGAACCCAGCGACUUCAGUGAGCAAAUCCUCAGCCCUCAGCUGCACACAGCUCUGCUUCUGCUGGCUGAGGAGCUACACGCGUUUCAUUACUGCCCCCCACCACGUGCACCGAGCCAAAUUACAUGACCAGCUGGCAGUGAGAGGACUCACAGUUCUGUGAAAUGUAGAAAGGUGCAGUUCAACACUACACAAACUUGCAUUUGGUCAAGUUAGAAAUAUUUCAGAGCAAAGUUAAAUGCUUUUUUGCUAAAAGGCAGCACUAUUAUUUCAUCUGUAAACCUUGCAGCUGUCCAGCAGUUCCUGCUACGAGUACGCAUCCUGCUAAACAUGCUUCCCUGCUCCUUGCCAAGCAGAACAGCACCUGAAAAACACAACUUGUAAUCCAAGGAAGUUUGUACUAGGUUAGUCCUAGUCAGCAUUAGCAAUGUGGUGUAUUUAAAUUGUCAUGGUUUCUUAUGGUUGAGGCUGUUCCUUGGAAUGGGAAACACCCGGGGUUCAUACCUGUUUCUGAAACUUCUGGAAAUACAAUCUGUGCCUUUCCAUACCACACAUAGAAUCACAGAAUUGCUCAGGUUGGAAAAGGCCUUAAAUAUCAUUGAGUCCAACCACAACCUAAGCAUACUAACCUAACUCUUAACAAUCCUCCACUCAAUCAUGUCCCCGAGAACCACAUCCAAAUGGUUUUUAAACACAUCCAGGGGUGGUGAUUCAACCACCUCCCUGGGAGCCUAUUCCAUGUGCUCUGUCCACUGGCAUCAGAUCCACAGCAGCACAUCUGUGUGUUGUCAUCACCAGCUGGUGGCUGUGGACCUUGUCUGUCCCUGCUGUGGUAAAGGUUCAUUGUUAUUUUGAAUGAGUAGUGUGCAAACAUGUGAAGUCAUGGUUUUGGAUUUUCAGAAACAUUAAUGACACCUAAAUGUGGUCUUGCAUUGGAUACCCAACUGAAUUUGAGUUUUGGGUAUUAUAACAACUCUCCUCACUACAUAUAUACAGGUUACAAGAAGACGUGUUCCUCUGUAUUCAGGACACUCUUGGCAAAAUUGGUUUUGGAUUACCUUCUACUUGUGAGAUUGCAGCCUAGCAAUAGGCACAACCAUCCCAAUCCAGAUUCACAAAGCACUCAUGUCGCAGUUGAGCACCUUGCUCCAGUUCUGCAGUGAGAUCUGCGUGUAGACAAUUUGUAGAGUGCUGUGUUUUGAAAGUUAAAUAGCACAGCAAAGAAGGAACGUGCUAUGAGUUCAUAUAUUGCAAAUGAGAAAGGUAAACUGUACACUGAAGGUUUCACUGUGAUAACAAGUGUGUUCUUGAAGACAUGAAGUUACACAGACAUAUUUGCCAUACCAACAUAACUUUAAUGCGUUACGCCUGCUGAAUUUUCAAAGUAAGUCAACUUUUGCACAGGAAUGUAACGUAAAUCACCUGAUUUGUAGGAGACUCUGAAACCUAUUAAAAUCCAUCUGACCUCAGGCAAUUGUGAAAAUUGCCUUUUCAGGUCGUAUUUCAAAAAUACUUCCUCUUCAGAGUAUCUGUGACACUUCAAUAACUUCUUAUUUUAAUUAAAACCACAAAGUGUUAGCUAGUUUAAACAAUCUUAUUUGCGUUCUGGAAAUGGCUCACGACAAAUGAAGUCUAUUUUUUUCCCUCAAAAUCUUUUGCUUCUUUUCAGGUGCCUGUGUCACACCGUCAGCUACUUCUGCUGGAGAC